UAUCAUAUUGCUAUUUUUCUGUAAUUUUGGCGGUUCGUUAAAGGAAUAAGAUACCUUAAAGAAACACGUACGCAUAUACACUAAUACGCGGCUAUCGAGGGGAGAAAAUGCAAAACCAAGGAAUAAUUGCAAAACAUCUUUAUUCGAUCGAGAACACAUGACAUCUCGUGUGAACGAACCAAAGUAGAAAGACAGAAGAAAAGUGGAAAGAAAAAGGUACGAACGAAAUAUAAUAGAAUCCGUUCCAUAACGCGAUAAACAUGGCCGCUUCGAACGGAUCAAUGAGACCGGAAACGCUCGGCUUCCUCGCGAAGCCCAGCCGGAAACAUCAACGUCGCUACGAAUACGACUCACCUAUACGAUACUGGGGGAGAGGGUUAAUGUAAAUCACGAGUGUUAAUGGGAACACAGGGGUCUGGGGUGAUACGGUUACCAGAAGAGCGAGGGGCGGUUAGAUAUAAGAACGAAGCUGAUCAAAGGGGAUGCUACAUGCGACUCGAGGAGUCGCAUCUACUCUACGUAUCGGUCGAAUCCGAUGCUGGGACCAGAUUCGUCCGUAUCACGGAUUUAAGCUCUAGUUAUUGCUUUGUAAUACGCGUGGUUUAAGGUGAAAACAAAUCUGAACUUUCAUCCGUACGCUGUUUGCUCGGGUAUCACGUGCCGUGAUACGUGAUCGAUAUCGUAUCGAGGAUGGCCGUCGAGAUUAUGUUUUCGUAACCUUAUACAAAGAAACAAAAAUUAUUGACAUCGUACGGAUAUAUAUGUAAAUAUAUAUGUGUGUGUACGUAUAUAACUAUAUGUGUUUACGCAGAGAUAAGUAGAGUCUUAUACAUAG